GGUGCGAGAGGUCCCGAGUUGGUUAUGACGACUGCCUCACACGCAGUAGGUCCCGAGUUCGACUCGCGGUUCCAGUAUUGCACCA